UACGUAGGGAGCAAGCGUUGUCCGGAUUCGCUGGGGGUAAUGGGUGCGCAGCCGGGCUCUUAAGUGAAAGGGGAAAUCUCUCGGCUUAACCGAUAAAUUGGCUGUGAUACUGAGAGCCUUGAGUACGGGAGAGGGAGAUGGAAUUCCAGGUGUAGCGGUGAAAUGCGUAGAUAUCUGGAAGAACACCUGAGGCGAAGGAGGUCUCCUGGCCCGUUACUGACGCUCAGGCACGAAAGCGCGGGGCGUAGACAGC
rnacentral:rRNA from 1 species